rnacentral:rRNA from 1 species
UACGAAGGGGGCUAGCGUUGCUCGGAAUCACUGGGCGUAAAGCGCACGUAGGCGGACUCUUAAGUCGGUGGUGAAAUCCUGGAGCUCAACUCCAGAACUGCCUUCGAUACUGGGAGUCUCGAGUCCGGGAGAGGUGAGUGGAACUGCGAGUGUAGAGGUGAAAUUCGUAGAUAUUCGCAAGAACACCAGUGGCGAAGGCGGCUCACUGGCCCGGUACUGACGCUGAGGUGCGAAAAGCGUGGGAGCAAACAGG